CAGUAGCCGCGGUAAUACAGAGGAUGCAAGCGUUAUCCGGAAUGAUUGGGCGUAAAGCGUCUGUAGGUGGCUUUUCAAGUCCACCGUCAAAUCCCAGGGCUCAACCCUGGACAAGCGGUGGAAACUACCAAGAUGGAGUACGGUAGGGGCAGAGGGAAUUUCCGGUGGAGCGGUGAAAUGCGUUGAGAUCGGAAGGAACACCAACGGUGAAAGCACUCUGCUGGGCCGACACUGACACUGAGAGACGAAAGUUAGGGGAGAAAAUGGGAUUAGAUACCCCGUAGUCCCUGUCUCUUAUACA
rnacentral:rRNA from 1 species